rnacentral:rRNA from 1 species
CCUACGGGUGACAGCAGUGGGGAAUAUUGGACAAUGGGGGAAACCCUGAACCAGCGACGCCGCGUGAAUGAAGAAGGAUUUCGGUACGGAAAGCUCUAUCAGCAGGAAAGAAAAUGACGGUACCUGAGCAAGAAGCCCCAUCUAACUACGGGCCAGCAGCCGCGGGAAUACGUAGGGGGCAAGCGUUAUCCGGAUGUAAUGGGUGUAAAGGGAGAGUAGACGGGAGCGCAAGUGUGGAGUGAAAGGCCGGGGCCUAACCCCGGAACUGCUCUGGAAACUGUGAAGCUGGAGUGGAGUAGAGGUAAGCGGAAUUCCUGGUGUUGCGGUGAAAUGCGUUGAUAUCAGUAGGAACCCCGGCGCGGAAGGCGGCUUACUGGACUGUAACCGA